AAACAUAUUGAGAUCAGUCAUUCGAAGUUUAGUUGAUCGGUUGUUCAAGAGAACCUUUUAAUAUUAUCGAAUUUACCAUGGAGAAAAGAAAAUGCACAGUAGCUUAAAUACAUCUGACCUCUAGUAUUUUAAAAUCAUUGGUGAGGCGUAGGGAAAUAAUUAUUAAUCAGAGCUUGCACUCAUACUUGGCUCAUAAGAUUUAUGUACAAAAAUAAAUAAUUGCCAAAUGAAAAUGAUUCCACGGGAAUUAAGUUUAACCU